rnacentral:lncRNA from 1 species
CCAUAUCGAAGAAUGAGUGAGUAAUUCUCCUGUUGGGCCUGUUUUUAAGCCCGAUUUUAAACUUAAAUAAUCGAGUUUUUUAAGAAAUGGUUCUAAGCGGUUUAAAAUUGAUUAUAAUGGCUGAUGAGGUUAUUUGUUGGACCUGUUAUUAAGCCCGAUUUUAAACUUACGAGUAUUUUAAGAAAUGGUUCUAAGCGGUUUAAAAUUGAUUACGCUGGCGAGUUUACUUUAACAUUGGGGAGAUGUGGCGCUCUCUCAUGGCCAACUUUUAUAAAAAGAAUAUAGUUAGAUUUUCUACCAAAAAAUUAAGAUUUAUCAUAUUUAAAUGUUAAAUUUUGUUUAUAAGAAGAGUGUAAAAUAGAUUUUUGUUUUGCCGACAAGUGUACACAUAGAUUUUAAUUGAUAUAGUAAAAACUAAAAAUUAACUUACUUACAAUAUAAAUCUGAAAUUUUUAAGAGAACUUUAAAUCUAAAAGAUUACUUUUACGUUCAAAUUUCAAAUUUGCAAUAUAUUAUGGAAAAUAUAGAAAAUUUGUUUCCUAUUAUAAUAGAUACACCUUGAUAAACUAAAUAUUUUAAUUACAUUAAACAAAAUAUAUCAAUUCAAAAUAUGAAAAGAAAUAUCUUAUUAUAUAUAAAAAUAAUAAUUUAAAGUUACUAACUUGUCUAAUCGUGACACAUGUCAAGUUAACAAAUCAGUUUUUGACAUGUGAUUAAUUAAUUUUAAUUAUAUUUUUAAUAAAUUUUAUUAAAAAAUAAAAUUUUAUAAUUGAUCUUUAGUCUUACAAAAUAAAAGAAAAAACAAUUAAGGAAAACAAUUAAUUAAAAAAUAUAAACCACAUAUUAUAGGAAAAAAAAGAAAAAAACUACAUUUCAGUUAUGAAUUAAGCAUAAAAAAAUUAAAAUAUUAGAUUACAAAUUCUAACUAAAAAAACUUUUGCUAAUCUUUUUAGUUCAUAAACUACAUGUAAUUCAAAGAAACAAAAUUCAAAAAUUCUUCACGAAAAUGUCGUGGCAAGUUACAUGUACAGUGCUUUAAUGGAAACAUAAAAAUGAGAAAUCAUACCUUUGCUUCAAAGUUGAAAUCAAACAAUAUGUUUGACGCCUUUAUAUCACGGUGAAUGAUUUUAAGAUUGCCAGCAAAAAUAUAUACACAUAUAAUUACAUAAACAAAUGCGGCAUGUAUUUAUUAAACAUCUGUUACAUAAUUUUGAGAUAUUAUUUUUUUGGUGCGAAUCCUUCUUAUAACAGAAAUUUUUUAACCGGUUACAAUAUUCAGACUUAAUAAAGACCGUUUUGCAAUAGAAUCAGCAUUGACAUUUGCUGUUCUGGAAUGAAAUUAAAAUCAACUGAAGAUAAACAUGGGAUAGAGAGAUAGAUGACAGUGAAGAUUCCGUGAAUCUCCGAGAUCGAACCGCCGGCGUUGAUCGUUCAAAUUAGGGAUUGGGAGUCUGACCGAAAGGUUACUCUGUUGAGAAACAGAGAUUUCGCACAGAACAUAGCAGCUUUGAUAGCCAAUGCUUCCGCCAUAAAAGGAGAUGUAACAUUGGAUGUUGAGGAGGAAUGUAAAUAGGAUGGGCUUUUCUCAAGGGUCCAGCCAAGUCCUGCUAGACCUGAUUAUGCAUGCCAAGAUGCAUAAGUAUAGCAAAUAUGAGUCUCUUCACUUAGUGAAUAAGGAUUUUGGAGAGAUGUUGGAGAAAUGGUCAGGGUUGUAGGCGAGGCUUGGAUCUGCACAGAGCUCCACUCACGAGCAUGGAAGAUUGCCUUCACAACCAUCUCCUCUACUGAGAGUCUGCGGUUAUUGAAUAUUAGCUGGUUUCUUGAAGUCCAUAGGGUCCAACAAACCCAUGAAGAUAAGGUUUCUUUAUCCAGCCUUAUCGGGGGAAGAGAAUAGCACUCACUUGCUCUACGAAUGCCUGAUAAAGUGUCUAUGAUAGAUGUCGGAUCAAAUCCAUUCCAUAAGGGGAGAGCUUGCCAGACCUCAACAGCAAAAGGGAAGUGGAAGAGCGGGUGAACUACUGUCUCAAUUUCAUUACAUCUGCAACAUUUUACUUCCAUUGGGAUUUGUCUGAUUGCCAGUUGUUCUCCUACAGGGAGUGCAUUGUGAAUUGCUUUCCAGAGAAACAUUUUGACCUUUAGAGCUGUUUUCAAGUUUCACACUUGCAUGUUCCAGUUCGUUGAGGAGAUAUUGUUAGGUAAUGAGGCUCUUCCUCCAUUCUCUGAUGCAACAAAAUAGCCCGACUUGGUAGUGUAUUCUCCUGAGAGGUACCUUAGCCAUAUUUUUAUCUUUAGCCCCUAGGGUACUGGGUUUUAUGGGAAGAAUUUGAUAAUAGCCUCCAGGUUUCAGCUUGAGCUUUGUUCCACUAACAAAUCUUUAACCUUGGUAGUUUGGAAGAGUUCCAGCGGUGGACCCAUGGGUUGGGCCCUCUCCUUAGUUGACAGCCAUGGGUCAGACCAGAUUUUGAGAUAUUAAGACUUACAUUUUUCAUGAAGAUAAGACAAACCCUUUGGCAGAACCAACAGCAAUCUUCAAUCUUGAGCUCCAUUCCACUGGAGGCCGUCCCUUUCCUGUCAAAAAAUCAUCACUAACUGAAGACAUUAAAGCAUGGUGGGCCAGAAUCAUAUUGAUUAGUUAUAUUCAUAGUAAAUUAGUACAAAGGAAUGGUGUAAAUUUUGUUUUAUGUUUAGAAGAUACAUGAAAUGAAUAGAGAUUAUAUGUAGGUGAAUUAUGCAAGAAGAGAGAUGGAAUGUAUUUUUAGGUGUGAGUUUGUUAGGAGGGGAAGGAUCAUGUGUGUCUAUAAGAGGACAAGAGUGAGAUAAUAAAAUUUGUCUUCUUAUUGCAAAGUCAUACGAAGAUUUAUUAAUAGGAAAAUAAAAUAACGUUUUUGCUUUUCAGAAAUCAACUUAUAUCUGAGUUGAAUGAAAAAUCUUGUAAAAGUUUUGAGUGGGGCUUCGGGAUUAUAUAUAUAAGGUAGGGCAUCACAUGGGGGAACUAUGAUUUGUAUUUGGUAUAACGUUAUGCACAUGAUUAUUGGCAUGACAUUCGCUGGUCUCACCUUCUAAUAUUCUCCUAUGUUUAGUUUUUUUUUCCUCUAAAACAAAGCUGUCAAGUGUCAACACCCAAAAAAACACACAUACAACACAAUUUAUGAUAAUCUAUACUAUUAAAAGAGAAAGGUGUUUUGUGUCC